GCAUGCAUGGUAAUGCUGCAUGCAUGAUAAUUAUAAUUAUUACGCCUCUACCGUAUUACUAGAAUAUUUUGCAGGUGAAAAACCUUUGCGAAUGAGCCAAAUCAGCAGAAAAUUUGACCCUUUGCGAUCUAACUAUUGUGUUCUGGCAAGUAUUUACUAGUAAUAAUUUAGGUUUUGCGGAUUUUAUUGAUCAACCCUCGCAAAAUUCGCAAAUGUUUGAUGCUCGCAAAACAUUCUAGUAAUAAUUAUGGUACAUUAAUUUGCAUCAAUAUUGUAUAGGAAUUUGCUAUGGAUUCCAACUGAUGGAAGUUCAGGAAUCCCCCAACAUUCCUUCACUAUCUUAUAUGAACGAUUCUCAUCAGCACCUGAAGUCAUCAUAUACGACAAUAGUUGCAACCUGCACCAAUACUAGAGAGCCCCCCUUUUUCAGGCACAGUCGGUUUCUAGGUCUAGUAGAUCGUUUCCAUUGGCCAAAUCAUUCAGGAUGCAGUGUUGCUUACAAAAUGAGCACCUAUAGACAAUAUGAUGCCUUGAACAGCCAGAUGGUAGAGCAAAGCAAUUCAUGCUUGAAGAGAAUCAAAUCGUCACUGUCGUAUAUGAAUAAAAGAAAUUUCCUCACACAUUGUGGAUUUUAUUUAUGGUAUCACAAUCAGAAAAAACUAUAAGUAUAAUGUACUCACAUGCAUGAUGGUCUUGUCAUGCACUUUUUGUUUUUACAACCAUGAAUUUAAAAUUGUGGCGUCACUUG